UGAUGUGUACGUGAAUCAUCGAAUCUUUGAACGCAAUUUGCACCUCGUCACUUCGGUGACAAGGUAUACUUGUUUGAGUAUCACAAACAACCUCACCCUCCCUUUUGGGUAUGUGGACUUGAGAGUUCUACUUUGCGGUAGUCUCUUUAAAAUCAGGUUUUGAAGUCUCAGCAUGAGAUGAUUAUUGGGAUAACAUCCUAACAAUAGUCAUUGUUUUGACUUGAACCUUUCAAUGGGUACAAAGCCACCUGUUCGCAGCAUCGCAAGGUGUUGUGACCAGUCACUUUUAAGUUGAUCUCAAAUCAAGUAGGGAUACCCGCUGAACUUAAGCAUAUCAAUAAGCGGAGG
rnacentral:rRNA from 1 species